CUCUUCUGUUCCGGGGUCGGAGCCUGCCCCUGGCUCGAGGCCUACGUUAUUCAGGUGAUUGCGGUCACAGUCCAUUGCCCGCCGGCGAAGUUCAGUUGCAGCCCCUGACGCGUCCGAAGGUCCCUCCGGGGCGGCAGCGGCAGGUCUAUGGAGAAGGGCCCGGGGCGGGUGCAGGCGAAGCCGCGGGACGCCCGGUGCAGCAAUGGGUUCCCCGAGGGGGAGCCGCCGCGGCCCAGGCCCAGUACGCCCACCGAGAAGCAGCCGCGGCCGGAGAGCAAGAGCGUCCAGCCGGCGGACGGCUGGAAGGGCGAGCGGCCCCGCAGCGAGGAGGAUAACGAGCUGAACCUCCCCAACCUGGCGGCCGCCUACUCGUCCAUCCUGCGCUCGCUGGGCGAGGACCCCCAGCGGCAGGGGCUGCUCCAGACGCCCUGGAGGGCGGCCACGGCCAUGCAGUUCUUCACCAAGGGCUACCAGGAGACCAUCUCAGAUGUCCUAAAUGAUGCUAUAUUUGAUGAAGAUCAUGAUGAGAUGGUGAUUGUGAAGGACAUAGACAUGUUUUCCAUGUGUGAACAUCAUCUAGUUCCAUUUGUUGGAAGGGUCCAUAUCGGUUAUCUUCCUAACAAGCAAGUUCUUGGCCUCAGCAAACUUGCUAGACAAUCCUGAAAUGGUGGUCCAGAUCUUUUUCAAUUCUGUGUUGGACUCUGUAAACACCGCCCCUGCAAUCUGAUGCCUGCUCUCCACAGCUGUUCGUUUUACGUUGUUUUCACUUCUUCUUUCUUACUCAUUUCUUCUAGGGGUUAAGAAGAAAGUAGGUAGAAGAGAGAAAUUUAACUUCCCUAGUUUCUGACUAGUUUCCCUAGUUUCAUUCCUACUUGGCAAUCUCACUACCAGACAGGACUACUUGGUAGCAUGAAAGGAUGUUCUUACAUCAUAAAUAUAAUUGCUUCACUGCAAUCAGGCUCUUAAUACAAAUGCAAACAUGUUGGUGCCUUUCAGUGAUCUGUACCCAAUGGCAGUGCCAAGGAGUGGCUGAAAAAUUGUAUUGGUGGUGAUGGGGGUAAUCAACCUUAUUAUAAUUUCUAUUAGCAACCUCCUCUCCAAUAACUUACUCCCAAGCGAUAAAGUUAUACCAGCUGAAUACAAGUGUCUUUAUUAUAAUUGGUUAUUCUUACCGUUUUAUAAUACAUAGUCUAAGAUCAGCAGGCUUGCUGUGCAAACACAGCUGUAGGCUCACUCCCCUGGUCCCCCCUCUUCCAGCAAGAUGGCUAAUCCUCCACCUUAUAUAGAAAUCCUGGCACUGCUCCUGCCUGUAUCAGACUGCCCACGUGUGAAAGGUGUAGCAUAGACAGUCUUCAUAUUAUAAAAACUUGGCAGACCACACUCGGCCAUGGUCUUAAUGUAAGCAGUCUUCUCUAGAAGACCACACUAUGUAGGCCGUGGGUAACACUUUAUAGAAAUGGAUUCGAGAGUAAUCUAGUGAGAUCUUGGAAAAAGUGGUGACUUGGGGGUAGAAGGGAAUAGCCUUUGGUUAUUUCCUUUCCUAGUGAAAGGAAAAGCUCUCCAAUAAUUAAGCUUUUAUGAACAAAGGAGUUAAUUAUUAGCAUGGGGAUUUGUCCUUACACUAAUAGGAUUAAAAUGUAAGGGAAAAAAAUGGAGCAGUAAACCAAAGAACUGAACUCAGAUAUUUUGUAAAAAUUUUGAAUAAAGGGUCUAUUAAAUGAAACAGGAGACUAAGAUAUUAUCCAACUGCUUAUUCCUUAUAAGAAGUUGGACUAUUUAGGGAAUGAAGAGGAAUAAAUAAGGCUAAAUGUCUUAGCAAAACUUCACUGCUCAUUUUAAUCUUGUAUGUGAAGUUUGUUAUAUGCUUGCCUUUAAACGGAUGACCUUUCAGUGCCAGGGAAGUCAAAUAUCAAACAGUAAAGCUUUAAGUAACAAGAAAAAUGCCAAAAGUGAGUUGAUCUGGUUUAACUCUAGUAGAAUUCUAGAGUAAAUUUAGUUUGAAUAGAAAUUCCUUCUGUUGCUGAAAAUCCAUUGAACAUGUAUUCAUUUUCUUGAAUUAGAAAAUUGAGUGAACACAAUUAAAUCUUGAAUAUAGACUUGUAGUGCCUCAGGUAGCCAUGGUUCAACUGUUGGGCACCUGUGAAAGGACAAUGUGCCAGUUAUCAUGGCUGCUAGAGGGAAGUAGGACAGAGCCACUGCCCUCAAGGAGAGUGGACAGCACUCGGCAGCAGGUGCCACAGACGUGCCUGGUUAGGAGGUCUGAGUUCAGAGAAGCCAAGAUGGCUGUGGCCAGGCAGGACUGAGGAGACCCAGAGGUAGAGCUGAACAGAAUUCUGAACGGAAGAGAAAUUCCUGUAGGUAUAGUUAAUGCCUAAACAAAGGCAAAUCAGAGGGUAGGAGCAAGGCAUCUCCCAGUGGAUGGGGAGCAGGUUGAUUGAUACAAGAGAUUUAGGCAGAGGUGACUGGGAGAUAGUGAACAAGCGUAGAUUAGAUCACAAAGGGAACAUUAGAUUACAAAGGGAACAUUUUCUUGUGUCUCUAUGCUAUAAAAGUAACAUACCAGUGAAACGUAAAUACAAGUGAGUGAGUAGAGGGAAAACUUUUCUUUCCUAUUUCCAUUCCCCACUAGAGAUCUUUCACUAUCCUUCUGGAAGAUUUCAGUGCAAACACAAACAUGUAGCCUUAAAACUACUAGCUAAACAAGGCGAAAGGGGAUCAUAUCCUAUAUUCUAUACUACUUUUUUUAAAAACUUAAAGUACCUUGAAAUUCCUUGGACGUCUUUUAGUCUAAAAAAGUUCCUUUUAAUGGCUACAUAGUAUUUCUUUAAUAUAAUUCAUUUAACCAGUCUUUGAUAUAAGUAUAGCCUACAGUUUGAGACUACUGUCAAAAAUGGGAAAAAGAAGAACUUUGGUGAACACAUCCUUAUCUAUUUCCUUACUCUGAGUCUGUAAGAUUGGGGUUGGAUUUGCUGGGUUAAGGUUAGCUAACUUUUUGAUAUUACCAAAUUGCUCUCCAGAAAAGAUCAUACUGAACUAUACUCUAAUAAUAGAUUAAAGGUGUGUGUUUCUCUACCCUUUUGCCAACACUGGCAAACAUUGAAGAGUGUGAAACCCAAACAGGUAAGUAAAAAAUGGUACCUGUUGUUUUAAUUUGCAUUUAAUCGUGUGAGGCUGAUUUUUUUCAGGGACUUCCUGCUCUUAGUCUUUGCUAAUUUUUCCAUUGGGUUGUCUUUUUAUUACUGAUCUGUAUGAGCUCUCUGAAUAUUAAAGCUACAAAUAAUUUGUCCAGGCUUGUCAUUUGUCUGUUUUCUAGUAGUAUUUUUCAUGAAGUUUAAAACCUAUGUAACCAUAAACUCAUGUAUUUUUGGGUUAUUUUUAUGGCUUUAUUUUUAUAUUUAGAUAUUUGCUUCAUCUGGAAAUGUAUUUUGGGUCAAGGAGUAAGGGGGAAUCCAUCCAUUGCUGUUGUAUGCUCACUGACCCCCUGUAACACCUCCACUUCCCUCACAUCAUCACCAUGCUGCCUUCUUGCUAUCCUCGCUGCCACUCUCUGGGCCUUCAUGUUCCUCCUGGGUCAUGUGUUAAACUCCUAACUCCUGUCCUCUCAUCUCUUAGGAUCCCUAAAUCUGCUCUCAUAUGCUGCUAGGAUGUUCUUUCGCAAGUGUGGAUUUGACAAAAGCUAUGGAGCUGCGAAGGGGCAGCAUUAAUAAAGUUCAGGCUUCUUACCUUAGCUGACAAGUCCCACUGUGAUCUGGCUGUAUUCUUGCUCUUCUUUCACUUUUUGCUCUAGCCACACUUGAGAAUUUGCAGCCCAGUGUCAAGUCUAGCUUGUCAAGUUAUAUGAAGGCAUCAGAAACACUUCGAAGGUUUGCAAGGGUUAAAUUAUACCAUCCAUGGGUUCUUCCUGCAAAAGUAUCACCAGAUUACUUUCCCAGUUGCCAGAGGAGGAAGAGGAGAGAAAGCGUAAUAAUGCAAGAGAAAACAGAGGAUCGAGCACAGAUGUUAUAAGACCAGAUUGUAGAAAUCUAUAGUAGAAGAUUACAAGUUCAAGAGCGCCUUACGAAACAAAUUGCUGUAGCAAUCACAGAGGCCUUGCGACCUGCUGGAGUGGGGGUAGUGGUUGAAGCGACACACAUGUGUAUGGUAAUGCGAGG